AGAGUUUGAUCCUGGCUCAGGAUGAACGCUGGCGGCGUGCUUAACACAUGCAAGUCGAACGAACCUUCGGGUUAGUGGCGGACGGGUGAGUAACGCGUGAGAAUCUGCCCUCAGGAGGGGGAUAACGGUUGGAAACGACCGCUAAUACCCCAUAUGCCGCGAGGUGAAAUGAAUUUCGCCUGAGGAUGAGCUCGCGUCUGAUUAGCUAGUUGGUGGGGUAAAGGCCUACCAAGGCAUCGAUCAGUAGCUGGUCUGAGAGGAUGAUCAGCCACACUGGGACUGAGACACGGCCCAGACUCCUACGGGAGGCAGCAGUGGGGAAUUUUCCGCAAUGGGCGAAAGCCUGACGGAGCAACGCCGCGUGAGGGAUGAAGGCCUCUGGGCUGUAAACCUCUUUUAUCAAGGAAGAAGAUCUGACGGUACUUGAUGAAUAAGCCACGGCUAAUUCCGUGCCAGCAGCCGCGGUAAUACGGGAGUGGCAAGCGUUAUCCGGAAUUAUUGGGCGUAAAGCGUCCGCAGGCGGCCCUUCAAGUCUGCUGUUAAAAAGUGGAGCUUAACUCCAUCAUGGCAGUGGAAACUGUUGGGCUUGAGUGUGGUAGGGGCAGAGGGAAUUCCCGGUGUAGCGGUGAAAUGCGUAGAUAUCGGGAAGAACACCAGUGGCGAAGGCGCUCUGCUGGGCCAUCACUGACGCUCAUGGACGAAAGCCAGGGGAGCGAAAGGGAUUAGAUACCCCUGUAGUCCUGGCCGUAAACGAUGAACACUAGGUGUCGGGGGAAUCGACCCCCUCGGUGUCGUAGCCAACGCGUUAAGUGUUCCGCCUGGGGAGUACGCACGCAAGUGUGAAACUCAAAGGAAUUGACGGGGGCCCGCACAAGCGGUGGAGUAUGUGGUUUAAUUCGAUGCAACGCGAAGAACCUUACCAGGGUUUGACAUCCUGCGAAUCUCUUGGAAACGAGAGAGUGCCUUCGGGAACGCAGUGACAGGUGGUGCAUGGCUGUCGUCAGCUCGUGUCGUGAGAUGUUGGGUUAAGUCCCGCAACGAGCGCAACCCACGUCUUUAGUUGCCAGCAUUUAGUUGGGCACUCUAGAGAGACCGCCGGUGAUAAACCGGAGGAAGGUGUGGAUGACGUCAAGUCAUCAUGCCCCUUACAUCCUGGGCUACACACGUACUACAAUGCUACGGACAAAGGGCAGCAAGUUCGCGAGGACAAGCAAAUCCCAUAAACCGUGGCUCAGUUCAGAUCGUAGGCUGCAACUCGCCUACGUGAAGGAGGAAUCGCUAGUAAUCGCAGGUCAGCAUACUGCGGUGAAUACGUUCCCGGGCCUUGUACACACCGCCCGUCACACCAUGGAAGUUGGCCACGCCCGAAGCCGUUACUCCAACCCUCGGGAGGAGGACGUCGAAGGUGGGGCUGAUGACUGGGGUGAAGUCGUAACAAGGUAUCCGUACCGGAAGGUGCGGAUGGAUCACCUCCUAA
rnacentral:rRNA from 2 species